UACGGGGGGGAGCAAGCGUUGUUCGGAUUUACUGGGCGUAAAGGGCGCGUAGGCGGCCACUGCAAGUCAGUUGUGAAAUCUCCGGGCUUAACCCGGAAAGGUCAACUGAUACUGCAGGGCUAGAGUGCAGAAGGGGCAACUGGAAUUCUCGGUGUAGCGGUGAAAUGCGUAGAUAUCGAGAGGAACACCUGCGGCGAAGGCGGGUUGCUGGGCUGACACUGACGCUGAGGCGCGAAAGCCAGGGGAGCAAACGGG
rnacentral:rRNA from 1 species